UUCGGCUUAUAUUUAUGCCUAUUCUUAAAUGGGCGUUUAAUUAACCGAGCGUUAGGAUACGAUUCGUCUAGGUUAUGUUAGUAAACGGGUCUACCAUGCCUAACGGCAAGUAAUUUUAAGUAAAGGAAAGUUAAAUGAGCAAGAAAACUGGUCACGUUAAAUGGUUCAACGAAAGCAAAGGAUUUGGCUUCAUCACUCCAGCUGAUGGUUCCAAAGAUGUAUUCGUCCAUUUCUCUGCCAUCAAGAGUGACGGCUUCAAAACUCUGGCUGAAGGCCAGCAGGUAGAAUUCGCCAUUCAGGACAGCCCACGUGGCCCGUCUGCGGCUGAUGUUAUUGCGCUGUAAUUAAGCUGAUACUAUCAUGCUGACAAAACCCGCCGAGUGCGGGUUUUUUG
rnacentral:sRNA from 1 species